rnacentral:tRNA from 1 species
GGAGGGGUGGCAGAGUGGUCGAAUGCACCAGUCUUGAAAACUGGAGGCCGGGUCACCGGCCCGCGGGUUCGAAUCCCGCCCCCUCCG